GUUUUGAUUAAUAACUUCCAAGGAAGAAAAGAAAAGACUUUACAAUGAUGGUUUGUCUUCAGUUAUUCUGAACAAGGAUGGAGUAUGCAACUGAUUAUGAAGCCUGCUGUGAUAGACAUCUCUGUUGACUAGACAGGCCUCCUUACAGCACCUCCCCCCUGCAACAUGUGUUGAUCAUGUACCGUGCCGCGCCAUGCCGGCUCCUCUCAGGCACAUCACCCAUCGCUGCCGGAGCGCACCGCCCCGCUGCCCCAGCACAGCGUGCCACCGGCUCGCUGGUCCUCUUAUAGGCAUGUUUGUGC